AGCCAAGAUUCAAGGAUCACAACUUGGAAUUAUACCAUAUAGUUCACUGAUGGGAGCUUGCAGCAAUGGCAAAAACUGGCAGAAGGCACUGGAGCUGUAUGAUGAUAUGAAGUCCAUUAAAUUAAACCCAACAGUCUCGACCAUGAAUGCUUCAAUAGCCUUAGGUAGUUGAUCCCCAGCACACAGGGCAGUGAUUAAAG
rnacentral:misc_RNA from 1 species